CGAGGGUGAACACCACGAAAAAGCAGUGGAGCUACUGAAAGCAGCCAAGGACAGCGUCAAACUGGUGGUGCGUUACACCCCUAAAGUCCUGGAGGAGAUGGAGGCGAGGUUCGAGAAGCUUCGCACCGCCCGCAGACGCCAACAGCAGCAGCUCCUCAUUCAGCAACAGCAGCAGCAAAACCUGACCACCCAGCAGAACCACAUGUCGUAGGCUGUUCCAAAAGAAGAAAAAGUAGAGGACACUGAGUGAGACUGGCAUACUCUCACAGUCGUGAUGUAAGGAGGUCCGAGAGAUCUCAGAAGAGGACCCUUACUGUUCUGCAGUGAAGACUAUCCUCUUUCAGUCAACUACCUACAACUCAAAAAGGUUGAAAACUCCAUGAAUUUGUGUUCCAAAUUGUUGCUUGGAAAAAUGUACAUGAUUGCAUAAAGGAAGGCUAGCACUUAAGUACAUGGUUUUACACUUGCUUGUUCAUAUUUCAGUUGUCUGGAACCAAUCCCAAGUUGUGACCCUCUUUAAAAAAAAGUCCCUCUUGUAGUUUUGUGAUAAUGUGAUUUCUCAACAUGUAUUUCUUAAGCAUUCAAUGAUUUGUUUUUACUAUCAUUAUAUUUAUGUUGCCACAGCGCUGUACAGUAACUUUUCGAAGGGUUCUUUUGGUGCUGGUGUCUCUGGCGCUUUUUAAGUCAGUCAUCCUUUAUUGGAUAACACUGAGGUAUUUUAUACCAUAUUGUAGCAAGGAAUAUUUUGUAAAGAAAAUAGAUUUAGCAAUAACACUUGUUUUGUCACAUCCUACUGUCAAAUUAUGGUUAAAAAGCCCAUUUUAGGCGUAGAAAUGAAUUGAGGGAAAAGUUGCUACAAAACUGUAUCUUAUGCACCAUAAGUCAGACUAAACCAUAAACAUCAUUUGCACAGAAUGUUCUUAUGAGAUCACUGUAUCACAGUGCCAUUGACAGAGAUUAUCUUGUACAUUUGGCAUAUUGUAUCGGCAGACAUUUAAAGGUAAAGUGUGUCAUUUUUGCAAAUACUUUCUCAGAUUUCAUCUUAAUAUACAAAUUAAAGUAAACACUGCAUUGAUAUAUCAAUUUGUUUGUGCAUCCACCCAGUAGCAUGAGUUUGAGGCAGGACUUCACAUUUGGAAACCAGUAGCAGAAAUGUUUGGAAACGGUCCUUAUUUUCUCAAUUUGUUUUUGUGGCACAGUACUGACACA